GGGGAAUAUUGCACAAUGGAGGAAACUCUGAUGCAGCGACGCCGCGUGAAUGAUGAAGGCCUUCGGGUUGUAAAGUUCUGUCCUUGGGGAAGAUAAUGACGGUACCCAAGGAGGAAGCCCCGGCUAACUACGUGCCAGCAGCCGCGGUAAUACGUAGGGGGCGAGCGUUGUCCGGAAUUAUUGGGCGUAAAGGGUUCGCAGGCGGUCUGAUAAGUCAGAUGUGAAAGGCGUAGGCUUAACCUAUGUAAGCAUUUGAAACUGUCAGACUUGAGUUAAGGAGAGGAAAGUGGAAUUCCUAGUGUAGCGGUGAAAUGCGUAGAUAUUAGGAGGAAUACCAGUGGCGAAGGCGACUUUCUGGACUUAUACUGACGCUGAGGAACGAAAGCGUGGGGAGCAAAC
rnacentral:rRNA from 1 species